CCCAAGGCGGGUACAGUACCUGUCAGGAGGCGUGAGGAGAGAGUGUGCGGAGAUGCGGCCAUAAUUUACGAGUCUGGGGCCGCUCCCCGGGAUCCCUGUGUCCUCUCUCCUCACGGGACGCUGGGCGCCGCCAUCUUCCUUCCCCGCCCCCCUGUGGGAGUAGUUCCGGGCCGUCACUUCCGGCGGGAGGGUUCCGAAAGGAGAGCGUGGUGUCUGGAGGUGAUCGGAAGGGACUGGCUGGAGUGUGGCGGGCUGACAGGUCUGAGGCCUGAAGGACUUCCGGGAACCGCAAAGCACGGUGUGCCUCCGCUGUCCUGAAGAAAAAGCCGCGCGCGGACGACUGGCCGGCCCGCGCUUGCAGCUCCCAGAAGUUGACAGGCAUCCUCCGGUGACCGGGUGACCCUGUGAAGUACCUCACUCCCACUUUCCCUUCUGCCAUGAUUGGAAACUUCCUGAGCGACCCCUCCCCAGAAGCAGAAACUGCUAUGCUUCCUGUACAGCUUGAAGAACUGUGAGUAUGAUAUCAGGAUGAUUUGACUGCAAGCAACAGAAAAAUCAAACAAAAAUGGCCUAAGCCAAGAAGAGAAAUGAUUAUUUCACAUUCCAAGAAGUUUGGGAGUCGAGUGGUUAAACGGCUAAUUAAUCUAGAGCUCAACAAUAUCACCCAGGACCCAUUUUCACUAUGGUGGCUAAAGCCCUGCACCCUUCAGGCUUGCACCAUGGCAGCAGCAGUGACAGUAAAGACACCCUUACACCACAAUGCUCCAUGACCAGGGAGAGGGUCUCCUCUCUCCUGCCCCUUUCUGGAGGCUCCACCGAAGAUUUCUCUUCACAUUCCGUUUCUCAUUCCUGAAGCAGUCGCUGGCAACAGGGAUGGACUUACCGCAAUGGGUACAGAGCAAUGAAGAUUCACCACUAUGAACCAUUUAGGGAUGGCCACAUGACUCAGUUCUGGUCACCAAGGUGGUGGAAGAGAAGUUCUCUUGAGGGGCAUCUGGGAAAGAUUCUUCUGCCUGAUAAAACAGGAGGUAAGCAAGGGUUCUGCUCCCCCAUUUGUUUCUGCCUUUGAACUUAGCUGUGGGAAGACAUGAUGCUUAGUGUUGCUGCAGCUAUCUCAUGACCUUGGGCAAAACAUCCCAACACACAGGAGGGCCAAACAAGCAGUCAGAAGAAGCCUGAGUCUUGUGGGUGUUGUUGAGCAGCUGAACCAACCCUAGGAUGGCUUCCUUCCAGACUCCUUAGGAUUGCAAACAAUGAAGCUCUGUUGUUUAAGCAAGGUAUCGAUGGCUAUUUUCACUUGCCACUGAAAGCACCAGGACAGAGAAUCGUCUUUCUAGGAAUACAGCCACAAAAGCCUUCAUUAUGGUAUAUGCACAUGAAGAAUAUAAAAGUUUCCUUUAUGUUUCUCUUUAAAAUAUAGCUGAAGUCUGCCUCAGGCAAAAAGACAAACAGAAAACAUAAAUGCAUACAUAAUUCAAGAACAAUAAAUAUUCAUUUUAAAAUGAAUAAAUGUUCUGCAGGAUAUUGUAAUAGUUUUCUCAGGGAAUAUAUUUUUCUAAUACUUAUAUCAACUAACAGUAUUUCUGUGGCAUCUCCAGGUCCUCUGUGUUUAAGUCCUCCCUAGAAACUGCAUUUCUCUCCUUUUUCCUGCUACUUUGGAUCUCAAAUGUGCCUAAAAAGAAAUACUUUUCACUUCUCUGGUUUUUCUUUUUUCAAAUAUUAACUUGUAACUUGCAGUUGUAACAUGGUUGUUGCUAGCUAGCUGUCAAGUAUUUGUCCAAAAAUGUGUUCCUAGAAUACCUUCAUCUUAUAGUCACUCAAUCCAUAAUAGAGUUUAAACAUUUUUCCAUUAUAUUUCACAGAAUAUUCAUGUUUUUUACAUAAAAAACACUUUUAAUAUAUGAACUAUCAGAAACGCACAGCAAAAUCCCAGUUAUAUGACAUCAAUAGCCAUAUACUAAAAUACACCUAACAAUAUUCAUAUUAAACUCAAAUUUAAUAUAUGUUAAUAUGUAGGCAUAUUUACUUAUACAUAAAGCUGUAGAUUUCUCUCUAUCCUUCCCCCGUACUUCCCAGAGGUAACCAUUGUCUUGAUGAUGAUGUUGAUGACAGCAACAAUGAUGAUGGUAAUGAUGGUAAUAAAAACCGCAAAUUUGCUAUAUGCCAGGCAGUAUUCUAAGCACUUUACAUACAUUAACUCCUUAAAUGUCCACCGCAGACAUAUGACAUAGAUACUAUUAUUAUCCCUCAUUUUAUAGAUGAGAGGUUGAGAAAAAAAUUGGUUAAGCAGCUUGUCCAAGGCCACACAGCUGGUGUGCCAGGAUUCCAACACAGGCAAUCUGGCCCUGGAGCCCUUUGCCGUAUCCCAUUGCUAUAUGGAUAUUGCUGUGUAUCAUUAUAUACUUUCUCUAAACAUGUAUGCAACCAUAAAAAGCUAUACAUAGGACUUCUCUCCUUUUUAAAAAGUAUAUAAUCUUAUAACAUUUAUGGGGUCUUUUUCCAGUUAUUUUGCUAUUAUGAACAAUGUUGCAAUGAAUAGUCUUGAAUGUACAUCCUUGUGCUUUUACUCUCUGGUAAACAUCUAGAAGCCAAAUUUCUGCUUGGUAGAUUACUCAUAUUAACAUUUUUUUUUUAGUUAUUCCAAAAUUGCUCUUCAAAGUAAUUGUACCAAUUUGCAGUUCUGCCAGCACUGUAUAAGUUUUCCAUUUCCCGCUAACUCCAUCAAUUCUUUGUAUCAUUGAGUUCGCUGAUUUUUGCUAAUCUGACUGAUGUGAGGUGGUAUUUCAUUAUUCUCAUUUGCACUCUUCUUUGAUUGCUAGAGAGGUAAGAGCAUCUUUUCAUAUGCUUGUUAUCUAUUUAUGCUUAUUUUUUUCUUGGAUUUUCAUUUUGUCUGAUUUUAAAUGAAUUCUAUGACAUUCUGCUGAAUAAAGUGAGUUACAUAGGUUGUAAACACCUUCCCGUGGUAGCUAUUGACCUUCUUUUUGUUGUCAUCUUGAUACAUGGAAGUAUUUAGUUUAAUGUAGUUACAUUCUCAAUACUUUCUUUUCUCAAUAUGGUUUACGCUUUUAGCAUUAUAAGUAAUAUGGCAGUACUCAGAUGUCAUCAAGAUAUUCUUCUAUAUAUUCUUUUUAAAUUUAGCUUUUCACAUUUAGGCAACUUUAAGUAUGCUAUGAAGUAGUACCCAAUUUUACCGUCUUUCAUAUAAAUAGUUGAAUCUAUCUUUUCCUAUAUGGUGAUGUCUCAGCAUCAUUUAAUAAAGACUCUCAUUCUUUGCCCAGUGAUUUGUGAUGUUAUCUCUGUCAUAUUCCACAUUUACAUAUCUAAGUGGUUUUAUUCCUACGCUCUCUAUUCCCUGUGGCAAUAUCACAUUGUUUAGUAUAGUUUUACAUGAUAAUGUAGUAUCAAUAUUCAAAAGGAUAACCACCCCGCUUUUUUCUUUUCCUCCUUCUCUGCCUCCUUCUCCUCCUUCUUCUUUGCAAUUGUCUAGCCUAUUCUUGAAUUUUUAUUCUUUCAUAUGCAUUUAAGAAUCAUCUUGUCAAGUUCUACAAAAACCCUACUGAAAUUUUUAUUGAAAUUGUAUUGAAUUUAUAUGUGAAUUU
rnacentral:lncRNA from 1 species